rnacentral:rRNA from 1 species
UACGUAGGGGGCAAGCGUUGUCCGGAAUCAUUGGGCGUAAAGAGCGUGUAGGCGGCCAGAAAAGUCCGCUGUGAAAACUCGAGGCUCAACUUCGAGCUGUCGGUGGAAACUUUCUGGCUAGAGUCCGGAAGAGGAGAAUGGAAUUCCUGGUGUAGCGGUGAAAUGCGCAGAUAUCAGGAAGAACACCCGUGGCGAAGGCGGUUCUCUGGGACGGUACUGACGCUGAGACGCGACAGCGUGGGGAGCGAACAGG